rnacentral:rRNA from 1 species
CCUACGGGAGGCAGCAGUGAGGAAUAUUGGUCAAUGGCCGGAAGGCUGAACCAGCCAAGCCGCGUGAAGGACGAAGGUGCCAAGCAUUGUAAACUUCUUUUGUCAAGGGACAAAAUCAGGCUCGAGAGCCUGACCGAGGGUACUUGAAGAAAAAGCAUCGGCUAACUACGUGCCAGCAGCAGCGGUAAUACGGAGGAUGCGAGCGUUAUCCGGUUUUAGUGGGUUUAAAGGGUGCGUAGGCGGACUGUUAAGUCAGAGGUAAAAGCCCGGGGCUCAACACCGGCGAGCCGUUGAAACUGGGUGUCUUGAGAUGUCGAGAGGUAUGCGGAAUGCGCAGUGUAGCGGUGAAAUGCUUAGAUAUUGCGCAGAACUCCGAUUGCGAAGGCAGCAUACCGGCGGCGAUCUGACGCUGAGGCACGAAAGCGUGGGUAUCGAACAGGAUUAGAUACCCCAGUAGUC